rnacentral:rRNA from 1 species
CUUAACACAUGCAAGUCGAGGGGUAUAGGUUUUCGGACCUAGAGACCGGCGCACGGGUGCGUAACGCGUAUGCAAUCUACCUUUCACAGAGGGAUAGCCCAGAGAAAUUUGGAUUAAUACCUCAUAGUAUUAUGACCCGGCAUCGGGAUGUAAUUAAAGUCACAACGGUAAAAGAUGAGCAUGCGUCCCAUUAGCUAGAUGGUAAGGUAACGGCUUACCAUGGCAACGAUGGGUAGGGGUCCUGAGAGGGAGAUCCCCCACACUGGUACUGAGACACGGACCAGACUCCUACGGGAGGCAGCAGUGAGGAAUAUUGGACAAUGGGCGCAAGCCUGAUCCAGCCAUGCCGCGUGCAGGAUGACGGUCCUAUGGAUUGUAAACUGCUUUUGCACAGGAAGAAACAACGCUACGUGUAGCGUCUUGACGGUACUGUGAGAAUAAGGAUCGGCUAACUCCGUGCCAGCAGCCGCGGUAAUACGGAGGAUCCAAGCGUUAUCCGGAAUCAUUGGGUUUAAAGGGUCCGUAGGCGGUUUAGUAAGUCAGUGGUGAAAGCCCAUCGCUCAACGGUGGAACGGCCAUUGAUACUGCUAGACUUGAAUUAUUAGGAAGUAACUAGAAUAUGUAGUGUAGCGGUGAAAUGCUUAGAGAUUACAUGGAAUACCAAUUGCGAAGGCAGGUUACUACUAAUGGAUUGACGCUGAUGGACGAAAGCGUGGGUAGCGAACAGGAUUAGAUACCCUGGUAGUCCACGCCGUAAACGAUGGAUACUAGCUGUUGGGAGCGAUCUCAGUGGCUAAGCGAAAGUGAUAAGUAUCCCACCUGGGGAGUACGUUCGCAAGAAUGAAACUCAAAUGAAUUGACGG